GAUGAACGCUGGCGGCGUGCUUAACACAUGCAAGUCGAACGAUGAAGCCCAGCUUGCUGGGUGGAUUAGUGGCGAACGGGUGAGUAACACGUGAGUAACCUGCCCUUAACUCUGGGAUAAGCCUGGGAAACUGGGUCUAAUACCGGAUAGGAGCGUCCACCGCAUGGUGGGUGUUGGAAAGAUUUAUCGGUUUUGGAUGGACUCGCGGCCUAUCAGCUUGUUGGUGAGGUAAUGGCUCACCAAGGCGACGACGGGUAGCCGGCCUGAGGGGGUGACCGGCCACACUGGGACUGAGCACCGGCCAAAACCCCUCGGGGGGGCAACGGGGGGGAAUAUUGCAACAGGGGCGCAAGCCUGAUGCAGCGACGCCGGGGGGGGGAGGACGGCCUUCGGGUUGUAAACCUCUUUCAGUAGGGAAGAAGCGAAAGGGACGGUACCUGCAAAAGAAGCACCGGCUAACUACGU
rnacentral:rRNA from 1 species